rnacentral:miRNA from 1 species
UUGUGAUGAUGAUGAUGAUGACGAUAGCGAUGGUGAUGGUGGUGGUGAUGAAGGUGAUGUGAAAAGAAAGAUGGUGAUUUCACUAACAUCAUCAUCAUGCCUGUCCCCAUCAUCAUCCCUA